UCUAUUGUCGCUUCUACGUCAGCACAGCGCCCUGGUAACCAGCAACACCGCCCCUUCCUUUAUUCCUCUUACCAGAUGAACUAUGUAGUUUACUGUCUUCAAAGCAUGAAAUUCAGAUGAUGAACUUGUGAAGUUCAGUUGAUGUGAGAAAUUGAGCAGUGCUCGGAUAUCAUGGGUGAAUUAUUUUGUUGUUUAAAAGGAGUUCAGAUGGUGCUCCUCAAUACUGCUCCUAUGUAGUGCCGACUGCCGAUGUUGGCCACUGUACGUCAACCACCUUGCUCAGAAUGUUAGUCUGUCAGGCAGCAUCAUUCUGCUAGACUCCAUUGGUUGCAUCUGAAGUUCACAUGUUCUCUUAAACUGCAAGUGAUAUUUUAGCAUCUCUUAGUAGAAUUUGUGUACUUGACCUGGGAGUUUAAAAAUGUGUAAUCACAAAAUUGCAGCACUGAUGUAAGUGUUUGUAAUAGGAAAUCCACUUGAUCUAAGUUCAGCAACUGAGCAUGCUACAUCUGUCUAAUUGAUUAUACGUCUCUCUACCUCUGAUGGCUACGUCAUGUCUGAGAGCGAGGAUUUACAUUAGCAUUGAAAGUUCACUUUUCCCUGUGCGGUAAGUUCAUUAAUUCUUAUCAGGAAGUUAAAUUCGUCCGCCCCAAAAAACCUCGCUGUAAUAAAGCAGGGAACAGAAGUUCACUGUGAACUGUAGGAGUUAUUAUUUAAACUUGAAAACAUUUUAUUGAUUUGCUGGUUGGUUGGUAGCUGCUAACUUUUAUUAAUAAGCAUGGAGAUAUUUUAAAAGUUUGGAAUUUUUAAAAGCCGGCGUGUCUAGAGGAGCCUGAGCUGGAGCAUUUCCUUGAGGCAAUGGUUUGAGUGACAAAGAGGAAGCAACGGAAAGGCGUCUCCUGGGUGCUGAUGCCUUUUUCAACCUACCAUGCCAUGGCCCUGUUCGACAAAAUGGCAGUUCUGGAUCAUGUGAAAACAGGGAAAAUGGUAGUUCACUCUUCAUACUUUCGUGGUUCUCUGUAUUAAAAGUUAGAACUCCAGUUUGCUUAUAGCUAGUAAAACCUUUACUCAGUAAGCUGCUGAGUUUGCUAUGUAGAAACAAGAGUACUGCUUUCCAGAGGUUCAGUUUUGUAUUCUGACGAAGUUCUAUUUAGUGUUUCUUCUGAAAUCCAGUUCAAGGUCAUGACCAUGUGUUUUCCAGAGAUUCAAAGUCUUAUCAUUUCGGAUGCAACCAAUGUGCCAUGCCAUGGAAGCAAGUAAGCAUUAAG